CGUAAAGCGCACGCAGGCGGUUUGUUAAGUCAGAUGUGAAAUCCCCGGGCUCAACCUGGGAACUGCAUUUGAAACUGGCAAGCUAGAGUCUUGUAGAGGGGGGUAGAAUUCCAGGUGUAGCGGUGAAAUGCGUAGAGAUCUGGAGGAAUACCGGAGGCGGAGGCGGCUUACUGGACAAUAACUGACGUUGAGGCUCGAAAGCGUGGGGAUCAAACAGGAUUAGAUACCCUGGUAGUCCACGCUGUAAACGAUGAAUACUAGGUGUCGGGGUGCAAAGCAUCUCGGUGCCGUCGCUAACGCAAUAAGUAUUCCACCUGGGGAGUACGUUCGCAAGAAUGAAACCCAAAGGAAUUGACGGGGACCCGCACAAGCGGUGGAGCAUGUGGUUUAAUUCGAAGCAACGCGAAGAACCUUACCAAGUCUUGAGA
rnacentral:rRNA from 1 species